rnacentral:rRNA from 1 species
CGGUAAUACGUAGGGCGCAAGCGUUAUCCGGAAUUAUUGGGCGUAAAGAGCUCGUAGGCGGUUUGUCGCGUCUGCUGUGAAAUCCGGAGGCUCAACCUCCGGCCUGCAGUGGGUACGGGCAGACUAGAGUGCGGUAGGGGAGAUUGGAAUUCCUGGUGUAGCGGUGGAAUGCGCAGAUAUCAGGAGGAACACCGAUGGCGAAGGCAGAUCUCUGGGCCGUAACUGACGCUGAGGAGCGAAAGGGUGGGGAGCAAACAGGCUUAGAUACCCUGGUAGUCCACCCCGUAAACGUUGGGAACUAGUUGUGGGGUCCAUUCCACGGAUUCCGUGACGCAGCUAACGCAUUAAGUUCCCCGCCUGGGGAGUACGGCCGCAAGGCUAAAACUCAAAGGAAUUGACGGGGACCCUCACAAGCGGCGGAGCAUGCGGAUUAAUUCGAUGCAACGCGAAGAACCUUACCAAGGCUUGACAUAUACGAGAACGGGCCAGAAAUGGUCAACUCUUUGGACACUCGUAAACAGGUGGUGCAUGGUUGUCGUCAGCUCGUGUCGUGAGAUGUUGGGUUAAGUCCCGCAACGAGCGCAACCCUCGUUCUAUGUUGCCAGCACGUAAUGGUGGGAACUCAUGGGAUACUGCCGGGGUCAACUCGGAGGAAGGUGGGGAUGACGUCAAAUCAUCAUGCCCCUUAUGUCUUGGGCUUCACGCAUGCUACAAUGGCCGGUACAAAGGGCUGCAAUACCGCGAGGUGGAGCGAAUCCCAAAA